UACAGAGGUCCCAAGCGUUGUUCGGAUUCACUGGGCGUAAAGGGUGCGUAGGUGGGCAAGUAAGUCAGUGGUGAAAUCUCCGGGCUUAACCCGGAAACUGCCAUUGAUACUAUUUGUCUUGAAUACUGUGGAGGUCAGCGGAAUAUGUCAUGUAGCGGUGAAAUGCUUAGAUAUGACAUAGAACACCAAUUGCGAAGGCAGCUGGCUACACAAAUAUUGACACUGAGGCACGAAAGCGUGGGGAUCAAACAGG
rnacentral:rRNA from 1 species